ensembl:lncRNA
GGGGACCGCUCCUCCCGUCCCGCGCGACGCCGCCGCCCGCUCGGCGCUCGGUGCAGGAGUUGCUUAACACACCGAAGUCUAAAGGAACUGCUUCUGAGGUUGGAAGGGGCUUCUAAAGACUGACCCCUCUGCCUGCCUUUUGGAGCAGGACAACUCCAGCACGUUGCCCCAGACUGUGCCCUCACAGUUCUGUGUCUGAGGAUGCCGACUCCACACCACCUCUGGGCACCCGGUUAGAGUGUCCAACCACUCUCACUGUAAAACUCUGUUUUCAUAGAAUCAUGGAAUGGUUUGAGUUGGAAGGGACCCUUGAAAGCCAUUUAGUCCAGCUUCCCUGCGAUGAACAGGUACACCUACAGCCACAUCAGGUUGCUCAGAGCCCCAUCCAGCCUGACCUUGAGUGUCUCCAAGGAAGGGUCAUCCACCACCUCUCUGGGCAACCUGUGCCAGUGCCUCAUCAUUCUUAUUGUAAAAACUUCUUCCUCAUAUGCAAUGGAAAUCUCCCCUCUUUUACUGGGAAAUGGUGUACCCUUGUCUUAUCACAACAGACUCUUGUAGAGAGAGUCUGUCCCCUUCUUUCUUAGAGCCCCCCUUUAGAUACUGUUUUCUUAUGUCAAGAUGAAAUUUCUUGUUUUUCAAUUUGUGCCCAUUGCCUCUAGCCCUGUCACCACCGAGAGAAGCCUGUCUCUCACUACAUAUUUUUAAGAAAGGCUGGAGCUUUAGGCAACAAGAUGUUUUCUUUGGUGUCACUUAGGAUAGGAAAGGGACAGAGACUAUAAACUCUACAGAUAGCAGAUCCUCCUAAGGAUGCAGUGUGUGAUGAGUCCAUGUGAGGAGUAGGAUUUCAUAAAGAAAUACUUAACAAAGAACUGCUGAGGUUAGAUGAAAAGGCUUGUUUCAUUUUGCUUGGAUCUAGAGUGUUCUUUGGAUGCUUUGGAGCCAGUAUCUAAUGGAAGACAAGGGCAGGGCUUUGGCAGCUCUUCAGAAAGGAUAAAACAGGAGGCACAUAUCUUUCUCUGCCUUGGAUAGUGGGAUAUCUUCCUUGAAUGUUGAAGUACCAUAGAUUGUACUCCCCUUACACUUCUAUGUGGACAUGGUGGUGAUAGGUUGACAGUUCGACUUGCUAAUCUUAGAGGUCUUUUCCAUCUUUAGUGAUUUUGUGAUUGUAUGAUUCUCUUCCUAGCUUGUACCGCUUUAUGAAGUGACUGAGGAUUAUGUCUCCCUUAUUUCUGAGGUGGUCUUCCAAAGUCAAUAAAAAAGAGGAGAAAAUUGUCCCGAAGUUACUGCUAGGGGUGUGAUGUGUGAAAAUAUUGUUUGUCUGCGGAAAGCACAGCCUAGUGGUUCUACAUCAGUGCUCUUCUGACACAUCCACAAACAGUCUGCUCUACACAGGUUAGUGAUGUUUCAACAGAAAGGCUGAAUGGUUGAAUGAGCACAGAAACCGAAGCCCAACUCACCCUCAAGGCACUUUACGCAUUGGCAGGGCAGGUUUAGUAAGCUCACUGUAUUGCCUGUUCUGUGAAUAAUUACCCAUGUACAGAUAAAUGGAAGCCUGCCUCUGUCCUACUCCCUUGACAAGUGGCACGUUCUUUUAAAUAAAAAUCAACCAGUUGAUGAAUUUUUAAGCACUCACAUGUAAAUGCAGGCAGAGUUUCCUCAAAAUAUAUGUUCAUUUAGCAGGAGGAAAUAUUGUGACUUAUAAAGGGCAAAAGCCCUACUUAAUUUUUAUCUGAAAUUUCUUAUUUAAACUACAUAUUACAUAAGAGUGGGUAGUGUCCAGUAACAUACCUGCAGAGAAACCAAACAGAAUUAGUUGGUAAUGACCUAGGAACCAAGAACAAGUAACAAAGUUAAUUCCCGAAGUGCUUUUUUAUCACUCUGCUUAACUGGAAAAAGUCCCUGAAAUCUAUAUACAUUCACAUAGGUACCAGUUUUCCAUCUCUAUAGUUUUGGGACUAUGCUGGAUCUGGCCAGUAUCACACACAAGCCAAAGGCAAACUCCUGUGCACUUCCUAAGUAAGAGUAGAUUGCGGCAGGUCUGAGACACCAGCACAGAUAACUGAAUGAUGAAAAACUUUUUGUUCCCGUUAGUUUGUCAUGACUGUGCCAAAACAAAACAAAAAAAAACCCUCUCUUCAUUCAGGUUGCUUAAUGCCUCCUUUAUUAUAGGCUUGUGCAACAGUGUACAUUGGCUUAGUAGGAACAGCAAGUGACAUGUACAGGUUUGAGAGAAUGAUAGUCCCUUGAAGGGAAGCAAGCAAAUCUUUUGUCUCCAAGCAAAACGAUCACAUUAAUUAUGUCUUGAACAGGGCUGAGUAAAGCUCCUGGAGCUGAGAGACUCUCCAGAAGUCUGCUGAUCAAAAGAGGUUUAUAUGAACACCACGGAUUGAUCAGAGGUACAAAGAAAUGGCUGAAGUGUGCGGACUUCUCUGUUUAAAGGAUAAAUGUAGAAAAAAAAAAUCACUCAUUCUUUUUUCUAUAGUCUCACAUACCAUUUUUAGUGGUCACACAGAUUACAGAAUAUCAGGUUAAAAAAAAAAAAAAGGUAUUUUUUAAACUAAUGGUAACCCUGAAGAUUAAAUACAAUCAUCUACCAGUCUUUCAGUCCAUUUUCUGCUUUCCGCGUUGCAAAGAUAGAAACAAGUUUUAGGAUAAGGAAGUGAUAUGGACUAACUGUGAUGCUAAAAGGAGCUGUACAUAUCAUGGGGGGAGGAUCUUAAGUCUAAUCUUAAAACUACACAUAUUUAGCAC